rnacentral:rRNA from 1 species
UACGUAGGGGGCAAGCGUUGUUCGGAAUCACUGGGCGUAAAGCGCACGUAGGCGGAUUGUUAAGUCGGGGGUGAAAUCCUGGAGCUCAACUCCAGAACUGCCUUUGAUACUGAAGAUCUUGAGUCCGGGAGAGGUGAGUGGAACUGCGAGUGUAGAGGUGAAAUUCGUAGAUAUUCGCAAGAACACCAGUGGCGAAGGCGGCUCACUGGCCCGGUACUGACGCUGAGGCACGAAAGCGUGGGGAGCAAACAGG